AACGAACGCUGGCGGCAUGCCUAACACAUGCAAGUCGAACGAGACCUUCGGGUCUAGUGGCGCACGGGUGCGUAACGCGUGGGAACCUGCCCUUAGGUUCGGAAUAACUCCCCGAAAGGGGUGCUAAUACCGGAUAAUGUCUUCGGACCAAAGAUUUAUCGCCUUUGGAUGGGCCCGCGUUGGAUUAGCUAGUUGGUAGGGUAAAAGCAUACCAAGGCGACGAUCCAUAGCUGGUUUGAGAGGAUGAUCAGCCACACUGGGACUGAGACACGGCCCAGACUCCUACGGGAGGCAGCAGUGGGGAAUAUUGGACAAUGGGCGAAAGCCUGAUCCAGCAAUGCCGCGUGAGUGAUGAAGGCCUUAGGGUUGUAAAGCUCUUUUACCCGGGAUGAUAAUGACAGUACCGGGAGAAUAAGCUCCGGCUAACUCCGUG
rnacentral:rRNA from 1 species